CGUUCUCACCCAACGGAGGCUAUAUAGGGAGCUGCGGGCCGCGAUGCUCGCUCUUUUACGACGGGACGGCGGAGCUGUUUGAGAUUUUGAACAAUGGCGCUGAGGUUUACUGGAUCGGCCGAGACGUUGCGUAGAGAUGCCCAGAUGCAUCACAAAGUCCCAAAGCAUCUGAGAGGAUGUUUAACAGAAAAUUACUUGCUUACCGUCUGCCCAUCUUAACCAGUGAACAGUUUCCGGAUUGCUUAUGAAUAUUGUGCUUAUGAACCCCUGACUGGCCACUUAAUUUUGAAGGUUGUUGCCUGUCCAUUUUGAUAACUAGCUUCACUGUAAAGUCCCUGGAGUGCAAAAAUUUCUGGCCAAGGGUUGAAGACAUACUUCCCUGUUGCAAAACAUCCUGAAAAAGGCAGACGAAAAGAAAAUAGUACAAUUUUGGAUGGUGCUGGUUUAAAAAUAAUAAACUUUGGAAUGAUG